rnacentral:rRNA from 1 species
GAUGAACGCUAGCUACAGGCUUAACACAUGCAAGUCGAGGGGAAACGACAUCGCAAGCUUGCUUUUGAUGGGCGUCGACCGGCGCACGGGUGAGUAACGCGUAUCCAACCUGCCCAUCACUUGGGGAUAACCUUGCGAAAGUAAGACUAAUACCCAAUGAUAUCUCUAGAAGACAUCUGAAAGAGAUUAAAGAUUUAUCGGUGAUGGAUGGGGAUGCGUCUGAUUAGCUUGUUGGCGGGGUAACGGCCCACCAAGGCAACGAUCGGUAGGGGUUCUGAGAGGAAGGUCCCCCACAUUGGAACUGAGACACGGUCCAAACUCCUACGGGAGGCAGCAGUGAGGAAUAUUGGUCAAUGGGCGAGAGCCUGAACCAGCCAAGUAGCGUGCAGGAAGACGGCCCUAUGGGUUGUAAACUGCUUUUAUAAGGGAAUAAAGUGAGAGUCGUGACUCUUUUUGUAUGUACCUUAUGAAUAAGGACCGGCUAAUUCCGUG